GCACAAGCGGUGGAUGAUGUGGUUAAUUCGAUGCAACGCGAAAACCUUACCUACCCUUGACAUGUCCGGAAUCCCGAAGAGAUUUGGGAGUGCUCGCAAGAGAACCGGAACACAGGUGCUGCAUGGCUGUCGUCAGCUCGUGUCGUGAGAUGUUGGGUUAAGUCCCGCAACGAGCGCAACCCUUGUCAUUAGUUGCCAUCAUUUGGUUGGGCACUCUAAUGAGACUGCCGGUGACAAACCGGAGGAAAGGUGGGGAUGACGUCAAGUCCUCAUGGCCCUUAUGGGUAGGGCUUCACACGUCAUACAAUGGUCGGUACAGAGGGUUGCCAACCCGCGAGGGGGAGCUAAUCCCACAAAGCCGAUCGUAGUCCGGAUCGCAGUCUGCAACUCGACUGCGUGAAGUCGGAAUCGCUAGUAAUCGUGGAUCAGCAUGUCACGGUGAAUACGUUCCCGGGUCUU
rnacentral:rRNA from 1 species